rnacentral:lncRNA from 1 species
GGGAGAGGGAGAGAUGAAAAUGAAAUCCAAACCCCAAACACAGUUGCAGAAAAAGGGCUACAACCAAGUGGGAACUGGCACAUGAGUCAGAAGCGGCAAACCCUCACAGGCUUUGGAUAGUUUUUUAAGCACUCGAUUAUUUUGCUAAUUCACGUUUGUCCUUUAUUCUCAUUCCAACUUUUUCCUAUUUCAAAAGUCACUGCCAAAAUAUAAUUUCCCACACAGAGCUCAAAUGUAAAAGCCUUCUGACGAGAGCUAAUACCUUGAAGUAGGUAUCCUGGUUGAAGAAUCAAUUCCUAUGCUCAGAGGUAUAUCCAGACCAUCUGCAGACGGGGUCCUAGAGGGCGAGAAAGAAUACAAAGGAAACGUCAGUCAAGGAUUCUGAUACAGAUUUUGGUCUGAAGCAGUUUCUUAAAGUAGCAUAUUCUCUAUGUUUAUAAACAUAAAUGUCAAUAAUCUGUACUCCAAAAGGGAGAAACAGAAGAAAACAAUAUUCAGAACUGCUAACAAAUGACUCAAAAAGUAUCUUCAUUUCAUAAUCGGCCCCAUGAAACAAUGACAUAGGUAUGUCCCUGCUCACACUCUGAUAGUACUUUAAACGUCCCCGGGAAACUCACGGUGGACCAGAAAGAGCCACCAGUGCCUGUGAAACCCCAGCGCGUCUGGAGAGCGCUUGCUUCUGGGGAGCGGUUGGCAUGAAGGGGUGUGGUGGGGGAGCGUCGACUCACCUGCGUAGAUACUGAGUACUUAUCAAGCAGAAUAAAAUGCAAAGCUGUCAUUUGUCAUCUGCAUUAUGUCACUCAGUACCCAGGAGAGUUCUUUCUGCUGACAAAGACUUCAUAGUAAGUGACUGGGAGGGCAACCUUUCCCAGCCCCCGAGAAGCUCCUAACUGUCCUCCAUCAAUCACCAGGGGAAGGGGUGCUUCUUCCGGGCAAGGCUUGUCCCUCCGUCCAGCCCGUGUCCUUGGCACGCCAGCGCCUAAGGGGACAGAGCCCUCCUUGACUGUCAGCACCAGCCUCACUAUUAUCAAGACCUGUAACAGUGUCGCGAGCACGGAGGCUUUGCCGCGGCAGACCUAAACCCGCAAAGCUAAAUGAUUGAUUGGCCCUGGAGCUGGAGGUUAGAGGCUGCCCUUCCACAUUAAAAAUAAAUAAAUACAUAAAAUCUGGAGGGGGUGCUGCACAAGCUUUGCAAAUCUGCCCAAGAGGAGACUUCGGAAAGAGUUGGAAGAAAGCCCCUUUCACUUUAGAGUACCAACCUGCUGAAAGCAUUUCUCUUGGACUUCUGAUAGCAAAGGGCUCAUUAAAAUAAUAAUAAAAAAAACCCUACAACUCUUUCUUUCGGAUGUCACGAGGAAAUGUCUGUAUGGGAAUUGAGGCUGCCCUAAAAUUAAUUAGAUAGCAGCCCGCUUCAUCAGCCACUCUGUCCCCACACACCUGAGGGUCUGUAUUUUGAAUCGCAACAAUGAACUGGCAUCAGAUAAAUAAGCAUAACAAAUUAAGUGUGAGAGUUGCAUAGCAGAAGGAAAGGGACCCCAUCACUCAUUUCCAUGCCUUAAAUUCUGAAGGGUGACAUGGGGCAGUGGGAGAAGAAAGAAGAAAGACUGUGGACUGUUUACCCCCCACCACACACAUUAUUUUGUUUUACAAAAACACACACACCCCUAUUAUUUUAAACUUUAUGAGCUGUUUUGUAAACAGUUCUAAUGCUUUUCACUCUGCAGCCUGUAAUUACUCUGAGAGAGAGAGAGAGAGAGAGAGAGAGAGGAAGAGAGACACUAUAAGAAACAGAUUUUAUAAGGUUUGGUGGUGUUUCUUUCUCUUUCUUCUUUCUUUCUUUCUUUCUUUCUUUAACUCAGGGUUAUUUCAGUGAUUGCUGAACACUGAGAGCCUGCAAUUUUUCUGCACUGACUGGUUUCUGUGCAUUUGUUUCAAAUCAUGAGAAAAGUGAUACAAGCAUGAAAGGCAGGCGAAGGAAAGAAAGAAGUCAAACAAUGGCUGUCUCCAGCAGAGUAGCAGAGGCUAAACAGUUACAUACAGAAAUUUCUUCCGGGGUUGGUCUUUUAAGUAGCAAGAGUUUGCUCACCUCUCCAAGCCUGCAAGGGUGUGUGAAGAGAGAGUGAGCAAGGGUUUUUUGCAUCCGUUCUAGUGUGAACCAGCCUCUGCUGACAGUAGUGACCCGGAAAUUACACUCAGACUCACAGUGUCGGGCAAACAGUGGCGCUUGGAGUUUAAAGAAUCGGCCACACAUGAAACUGAAAAUUCUGCACAAUUAAGAUGCUGAUAACAUUCCCUGGAACCCAAUCAACAUUACUGGUUAUUCUUUUCUUUAUCUUAUUUACUUUGCCUCUUCCUUUAGGAAAAAGAAAAUUAGCCUUAAUGGUCCCUUGAAUAAACUGCAUUCAACUACACCGAAAAGCAUUUCCUAAUAAAGGAAAGGGACAGCCAAGUAGAUGCAUGUUUUUUCGCCUACAAAGUGACCUUCCUUAGAGUGUUAAAGGUGCAGAAGGAGCCUACAUUUUUUUUCUGCUGCCGUUUGUUAUUGAUUCAGGAGGUGCACAUGUAAACGCAGAGAAACUGAGUGGUACAGAACACAGGACUUUCAGGCAGGUCUGACCCGCAGCACAUCAUCUUUACACCAUCUCCCUUCACAAAAACACAAAGCACAGCACUCUGAAAAGCCUGCAAACAGACAAUUCCUUAUUCAAAAAUGACCUUUUAAAACCUGUCAUCUUCUCACUGCCUGGUUUCCAUCUCCAUAAGGAAAAGAAGUGAAGAAGAAGAAGAAGAAGAAGAAGAAGAAGAAGAAGAAGAACGGGGAGGGGGAGGAAGGGGAGGAGGAUGAGGGGGGAAGGAGGAGGAGGAGAAGAAGGAGGAGGAGGAGGAGGAGGCGGAGGGGGAAGAGGAGGAAGGAGGAAGGAGGAAGGAGGUAGGAGGAGAAGGAGAAGGAGAAGAAGAAGAAGGAGGAGGAGGAGGGGGAUGGGGAGGGGGAGGAAGGGGAGGAGGACGAGGGGGAAGGAGGAGGAGGAGGGAGGAAGGAGGUAGGAGGAGAAGGAGAAGAAGAAGAAGGAGGAGGAAGAGGGGGACAGGGAGGGGGAGGAAGGGGAGGAGGACGAGGGGGGAGGAGGAGGAGAAGAAGAAGGAGGAGGAGGAGGAGAAGGAGGAGGAGGAGGAGGAGAAGAAGGAAAAGAAGAAGAAAACUCUGAGAGACAAAUGCAGAGCUUGACAAAAGAGACAAGGAUGCAAUGUUUGAAUUGGAUACUUUGUAGCAGAUGACAAGUGUCCUUAGAGACUAACAGUUUGUCCUGAGAAAUAGCAGAAAGUGGGAGAAAUGGAAAGUGAGCUCAAGGAAUGGUGUUGUAUUCAUGAAUCAGGACUAGAAUACAAGUUGCCUUUUCUUC